AUGCCCUACCUAGUAAUCAGUCUGCUCGGAAAAGAAAACACAACCCCCACUCCCUCCCCCUCCUCAUCCGACCGAAUGAAGCGCAGACGUGAGGCGUUCGACUUCAACGUGAGGAAGGAGGUCUUCGCCGUCGGCAAGAUGUGCGGCGAAGAAAGGAAUUUGCUUCGCAAGCGAUUCCGGGCGGAGCUCGUCGCUGUCCGUGGCCUGCUCGAGAAGGCGGAUCGGUUCUUGGCCCCCGGAGCCGCCGAGGGCCGCCGCGGUGGUGCGGCGCCUUCUUCCUUGUUCGGCCUGGCGGCUCUGCCCGGCAAGAAAGAAGGGCGACCCUUGCUGGGCGCCGAACCACCAUCCGAUGUGUCGAUGAAGGCUGACGACGGCAAGAGGAGGAUGACAACUCCUCUGGCGGAGCACAAAGAGGCGCCCAAGAUGACCUCGGCGGAGCGCCAACAGCUAGCCUUCAGCCUGGUGGCGCUAGCGGCAGAACUGUCCGGCCCCGCCGUCGAGCUCUUGCCGAAGCAGAACAAUGGCGGCCGACGCGAGAUCGAGGUAAACGUGUGCUCCAUGGAAGACGCGGCCCUGUUCGAGCUAAAGAUGCACGUGGACAAGCUCGUCAAAACGAGGGAUCCGUCGCUGCCGCCGCAAGAUGGCAGCAAGAUCGUUGAGCAUGAAGACGCAGCCCUGUUCGAGCUAAAGGUGCACGUAGACAAGCUCGUUAAAACGAGGGAUCCGUCGCUACCCCCUCAAGAUGACGGCAAGAUGGUUGAGGAUGAAGACGAAAAUGGCAGGCGCGUCGAUAUCUGCCCCGGCGUGUCUCCCGUGGUGACCACCCCGUCGCCACUCCAACUUGAAAUUCUUGAAUACGCGGCCGUCUUCAAUGCAACCGGACUAGUCGACAAGAUGCUGUCACCGCUGCCGCAGAAAUACCUGGCGCUCGCUGAAAAGAGGGAGAAGGAGUGCAUCGCCGAGAAGGAGGAUGAUGAGGAGUACGUUGACAUCUGCGGCGACGCCUCGCCGGUGGUGUUCCAGAAUCUCAUUGGUGCAAUCAGCCACAACCCAAGCAUUAUCUUAAGCAGCGAUUCUGAUUCUGAUUCAGACGCAGACAUCGGGUCCGACAGUGAUUCCAGUGACUCUGGUUCGGUCUCCGACAACCACUGCGAUGAGAAGGGGGGCACUCUAGCUCCGCCAGUUCUUCCUAAGGUUAGCAGCUCAGCCCCAGCAGUUCUUUCCAAAGUGAUUAACGAUUCUGCACCACCAUCGGAGCCAACACUGGAGGUGGUACAGAAUGGAGAACUGAAGAAGCUUGACAAUCCAGCUCCAGCAAUUCUUCCCAAGGUGAAUGGCCAUUCUGCCGGCCGUCCAUCGGAGCCGGCACCGGUGAUACAGAAUGCAGAACCAGAGCACGUUAGCAUUCUAGCUCCAUCAGCUCUAUGCAAAAUAGUUGACGAUUCUGCUGCCCAACCAUCAGAGCCGGCACUGGAGGUGGUACCUUUACAGAGUGGGGAACCAGCAGGCAAGCAUAGUAGCCCAGCUCCGGUACUUCUUCCCAAGGUGAACGGUGAUUCUGCUGGCCAGGCACCGGUGCUACAGAAUGCUGAACCAGAGAAGGUAAGCAGCCCGUCUCCGGCAGUCCUUUACAAAGUGGUUGAUGGUUCUGCUCCGUCACUGGAGGCUGGACCGAAGGUGGUACAGAAUGGUUUUGAAACAGAGAAGCUUGACAGUCCAACUCCAACACCAUCAGUUAAUCUUUCUAAUGUCAAUGAUGGUUCUUCCCUGCCAUCAUCGAAGCCUACAUCGGAGAUGGUGCAGAAUGCAGAACCAGAAAAGCUCCCCGACAAGCCUCCGGCGAGGCCGAUGAGCGAGCUGAUCGCCGCAGCGUUGGAAAAGCGGCGGCGGGAGGAGAGGUCCCAGGCGAGGGAGAAAGCCCGUCAGGAUCUGGUGGAGACGGAGAGGUCGGCCAUGACCAGCCACAGGGUACACCCAGCGGACAUGGAGCGGCUUGGCAUCCUUGACAUCGAGCACAUGGUGACCCAACACAGACGGCCUGGUGUUCCUCCCAGUCUGUUGCAGCAGCUUGGGCUCUUUCUGAGGGCUGAUGAAGACGACUGUGGAGAGCAGCAGCAGCCCAUCUCCGAUCCCGGCGUUCAAGACCUGGAGGAAGGGGAGAUUCUACCGUCGUAG
rnacentral:rRNA from 1 species